rnacentral:tRNA from 1 species
AAAAUUUUAGUUUAAUAAAAAAUAAUUCAUUUACAAUGAGAGGAUUAUUAUUAAAUAUAAUAAGAUUUUA